GCAGCCAAGAUGGCUGAGAUCCCAAGACAAGGAAGGGCUUGUGGCUGGGCUCUCAAUCAAUGACCCUCCUGGUGGCCCAACCACCCCACACCCCUGAGCGAAAUCUCUUGAAGUCUAAAAUUAAAGUGUAACAGCUGUGAGAGAUGCUGUUCUUUGAGGAACCAACAGAACGCGUACACUGACCCUUGAAACCACCACUAUUCUCAGAGGUCUUAAAAUAGCCACUAUUUCACUGUAUCUUCUUUCAUUACUUAAAGCAAAUCUUCCAUUUGGAAGAGUUUGGGUUGUUUGGUUGUUUUUUUCUCAAACAAAUAAAGGGGGUGUGAACAUUGA